rnacentral:lncRNA from 1 species
UCUCUGGCAGUCCAUCAUACGCACAAAGUCGUCGAAGCAGACGAACCCAUCCCCAUUUUUGUCUACACCUGCUAUCAUACGCUGACAAUCCUCUAACGUGCACCCAUCGUCUCCCAUAGCUGCGAACACACUAAAAAGCUCCUCCGCCGUAAUUCUCCCGUCGUGGUCCGCGUCGAAUAUCUCAAACGUAUCACGUAACUCGGAGUGGCAAGUCGGUCCAACCCGGUCCAUUUCGCCCAUCAUGAUCUUAAUCUCUUCCUCACUCGGCGGUUCGGCUCCGAUUAGGCCGAGUAGAGCCUUUAGUUCUUUACGAGAGAGAGUGGGGUCGGAGAAAUCGGACCAGUCGAGGGAGGGUAGAACGCUGGUGGGGGUUCCUGCCGCGGAGGAGGAGGAGGAGGAGGAGGCGGAGCCGAAAGAAGGAGGUUGAGAUCGGGAGAGUUUGGAGCGGUGGGAUUUGGAAGAGAAGAGACGGUUGGGGUUUAAGGAUUUGAGAAGCUUCAUGUUUGAGGGAAAUGAAGUAUGAAUUUUGAUUUGGGGUUUUGGAAAUGGAAGUUUGUUUUGAAGACAAGUU